rfam:Danio rerio chromosome 4, GRCz11 reference primary assembly.
GUUUCCGUAGUGUAGUGAUUAUCACGUUCGCCUCACACGCGAAAGGUCCCCAGUUCGAAACUAGGCGGAAACA